ensembl:lncRNA
CCCUCCGCUUCACCAUCAGCUGCCCCAGCAGCCUGGUCACCGCCGGCCGGUCCGGUUUCAGGAGGUCCCUGAUGACACCCCUGGCCACCACCACCAUCACCACCACCGCCACCUCCUCAACCGGCAUAACAAGAAGGUGGUGCUGGUGAAGAACAGCGACCCCUCUGUUCGGAGGACGAUUGUUCUUCAUCGCAAGACCCUCCGCAGCCUGGGUUUUUUUUUGGACGAGCUGUCAGACUUCAUGCAGUACCACAUCAGGAAGCUCUACACCCUGGAGGGACGCAAGAUCGACAGUGUUCAAGGUCUUCUUCAGUGCCCCAGUGUGUUGAUCUGUGUGGGUCGUGAGCCCUCCCACCCUGUCCUGCUGGAGAACUUCCGGAAGAACACCGACGACCGACUUCCACGUCUGAGUUCAAAGUCGCUUGGGCGCUCCAGCGUGGCCAGUAAAGGACAAGAGAGCAGCUUGGGACUUGAAACAAAACCAAGUGUAAUUCAUCCAAGAUCUGGAUCCAGCAAUCGAUCAACCAGGCACUCCAUAUCAUCAGACAAAUCACUCCCACCGAUCAAAUCUACAUCACCAGCACAAGUGGACCCAUUCCCUCAUUCAAGUGAAGGACUGAAGGAGG